AUUGAACGCUGGCGGCAGGCCUAACACAUGCAAGUCGAACGGUAGCACAGAGAGCUUGCUCUCGGGUGACGAGUGGCGGACGGGUGAGUAAUGUCUGGGAAACUGCCCGAUGGAGGGGGAUAACUACUGGAAACGGUAGCUAAUACCGCAUAACGUCGCAAGACCAAAGUGGGGGACCUUCGGGCCUCACCCCCUAGGCUGUGCCCAGAUGGGAUUAGCUAGUAGGUGGGGUAAUGGCUCACCUAGGCGACGAUCCCUAGCUGGUCUGAGAGGAUGACCAGCCACACUGGAACUGAGACACGGUCCAGACUCCUACGGGAGGCAGCAGUGGGGAAUAUUGCACAAUGGGCGCAAGCCUGAUGCAGCCAUGCCGCGUGUAUGAAGAAGGCCUUCGGGUUGUAAAGUACUUUCAGCGGGGAGGAAGGCGGUGAAGUUAAUAACUUCACCGAUUGACGUUACCCGCAGAAGAAGCACCGGCUAACUCCGUGCCAGCAGCCGCAGUAA
rnacentral:rRNA from 1 species